AUACAAUUUCUACUAGAACUUAAAUCUUGCUUCACCAAGUAUUGCGAAAAAUAAACCAUGAAGGCAAACUUAGCUCUUGUGUUUGUGAUUGUUAUAAUUUUAGGAAUUACUAUUCCUAGAGAAGUCAUUGCUGAAGAUACAACUGACAAUUUGCAUACCAUUAUAAAAAUCUUGAAAAAUGUAUCACUUAAAUAUCUCGAUCAAACGUGUCUUGAUGCUCGGAAUCUAAUCGAAAAUUUUGAAGGAUUAAAGCUCUUAAACCUGUCCUGAUCUCGUCUAAUCUUUCAUUGUUUGGAAAAAGGCUAUAAAACGUCUAUAAUGGCAUAAAAAUGGAAAUGCUGACAACAAUUAUAUACAAUCAAACGACAAUAUAUAUUAUAUAACAUA